GGGACAUUGGGGGACAGCCGCGUUUCCGCAGCAUGUGGGAGCGCUACUGCCGAGGAGUGAGCGCCAUCGUGUACAUGGUGGAUGCUGCUGACCAGGAGAAGAUUGAGGCCUCUAAGAACGAGCUCCACAACCUACUGGACAAACCUCAGCUGCAGGGCAUCCCGGUCAGCAGACCUGAGGGAGCGGGAUGGGGAGGGAGCUCGGCUGGGAAGUCACUGGGAGCAGGUAAAAGCCAGGCAUGGUAGGGGCGCAGAGAGGAAACGGGACCCAGGAGGCCAGCUCACCACCCAGACAACCUGGGCACGGCUGCCCUAGACCUCAUCCUCACCCUCCCUUCUCCGUAGGUCUUAGUCCUGGGUAACAAGCGAGACCUUCCGGGAGCAUUGGAUGAGAAGGAGCUGAUUGAGAAAAUGAAUCUGUCUGCCAUCCAG
rnacentral:lncRNA from 1 species